ACAGUUUCCUGUGACCAUCAUGCAGUAGAUCAGUACAGACGAAAAAGAUCCAAUUUCACUGGCUGCCAUUGUGUUUCCAAGCAUGUAUCCAAGAGGCUGAUCUUAUAAAGCCUUAAACAUUCUGGAUUCUAGAUCUCAGUUCUCAUAGGAGUCUGUUUCGGAUACACCUGUGAAUGUCCCACUAUCAACAGCGGAUAACUUAUGAAGACAGUGGACAAGGCCUUCUGUAUAUUAGCAUUUAAACUGUGAAACACUCUCUUUAAAAAAUUAGAAAUGUAGUUUCUUUCUUUAGAUUUAACUGUGCUAUUAAAUCAUUUUAUCCCAUUUAA